GUGCUCGCUUCGGCAGCAUAUAUUACUAAAAUUGGAAUGAUUCAGAGAUGAUCAGCAUGGCCCCUGGGAAAGCAUAUGUGAGUGAUUCCUGUUGAGAUCAUUUUUUAA
ensembl:snRNA U6 U6 spliceosomal RNA